rnacentral:rRNA from 1 species
UGAGGAAUAUUGGGCAAUGGGCGAAAGCCUGACCCAGCCACGCCGCGUGUGUGGUGAAGGCCUUCGGGUCGUAAAGCACUGUGGGGAGGGACGAACCUGCGCAUGAGGAAAUGCUUGCGCACUGACGGUACCUCCUUAGCAAGCACCGGCUAACUCUGUGCCAGCAGCCGCGGUAAUACAGAGGGUGCAAACGUUGCUCGGAAUGACUGGGCGUAAAGCGCGCGCAGGUGGCCUGUUAAGUCGGCUGUGAAAUCCCCUGGCUCAACCAGGGAAGUGCAGUCGAUACUGGCAGGCUCGAGUCCCGGAGAGGGUGGUAGAAUUCCCAGUGUAGAGGUGAAAUUCGUAGAUAUUGGGAGGAAUACCGGUGGCGAAGGCGACCGCCUGGACGGGUACUGACACUGAGGCGCGAAAGCGUGGGGAGCAAACAGGAUUAGAUACCCGUGUAGUCC